UUUGUUUACUUCGAUGGUUGUGUAAAAAAACUCUUGCUUCUUCUCUCCCGGUCACAUUGUCUGCCCAAAUCGGACCCCUAUCUGCCGAAUAUGUGUGCCGUUUCAUUGAUUCACCAAUGCCGGAAUGUCCAGUGGCGUCGCCCGCCAACUGACGCCUGCCGUAGCUGAGAUAUUCGGACAGAUUGGACGAGGGUUCGAUCGAUGUUGUUCUCGGCUGAGGUGAGUUUUGUGUUCUUAAAGCAAUUCUAAAGUCGGUGAUCACAUUACGUCUAAGCUUUUUAGAUUCUCUACACAUCGACUUCCCUUUCAAAUAUAUCCAGUAAGACUUCCUCUUUACACAACAAACACCCAACACUUGCACAUAUAUAUACACACAUAUAUAUAAAGAGAAAGAGAGAGAGACGUAUAUAGGCCAAAUGCAAUAAAGAUAGUGAUCAGGUUUCGCUUCUUGCCCUAGAAAUAUCGACCAGACGAGCCGCUCUCUUCUCCCCACUCCUCCAUUUUACAACUUCGUCUGUGAACUCCAGACAUUAUUUUUCCUAAAAAUCAUUCACAACCACGUUUCCUUUUUCUCCCCCACAACCACCAACACCAUCACCAUCUUUCCUGUAAGGUACUCACUCCCUAUAUAUAUAUAUAAAGUGAUUCUAUAUGUAUUUAUAUGUUAUAUAUGUGUCUUUGCAUGUACGGGUAUAACCCUAUAGUUUGUACUUUCAGAGAGUUUACAUGUCAUGGAAAGAAAUAUAAAUAUUCAGGCCAUAAUAAGUUUUCAGUGGUUAUUUUUAAUACGUUUCGCUCCGCUAUUAAUAAAACUUGUCCAACUACAAUUACAUACUUACAUACACACACAUAUAUACAUAUAUACACACAUAUAUACAUAUAUUGUAAAGUACAGAUGUAUUAUAUAUCUUUGUGUACCGUGGCUAACCCGAUAAUUUAAAUAUUGACUCCAGGUACGGAUAUCGAUUUUGAUGAAGGCAUUUCCUUAGUUCAAAAAUAGUUUGAUAUCUAUUUCCCUCUUUUUUCUUCUUUUGUGUCUAUUUUGUUCGUCUACCGAGGCGGUACAUUCCCCUCAACCUCAUUAGUCCUUGAUCCACAACACACUAGGACAUCGAUAUUAAUUAAUGAAGUUUUCUGUGAUUAAUAAAUGUUCAGCUUCUUAACAAAUUUUUUCAAAUUAAUUCAAGACGACGCGAAUAUUAUUCAACAAUCGAUUACGGUGUGUAUAUAUAUAUAUAUCUAUACCUGAACCUAUAUACUUAAAUAUAUGUAUACAAUCAUCAUCACCAUCAUAGUUUUAACGUCCACUUUUCCAUGCCUGCAUGGACCAGACGAAGUUUAUUCAGGUUGAGUUUCUGUAAGCGGGUGCACUUUCUGUCGGCGACCCUCACCUGUUUUCGAACCAAGGUAAUAUUUCUCCAUGGCUAGACAUGUUCUCGCAGAAUAUUUGAAUAUGUAUAGAUAUAGAUGUAUGUCUGUAUUUUUUUUUUUUAAUUCUUUUACUUGUUUCAGCCAUUUGACUGCGGCCAUGCUGGAGCACCGCCUUUAGUCGAACAAAUCGAUCCCAGGACUUAUUCUUUGUAAGCCUAGUACUUAUUCUAUCGGUUUCUUUUGCCGAACCGCUAAGUUACGGGGUCAUAAACACAACAACAUCGGUUGUCAAGUGAUGGUGGGGGAACAAACACACACAUAAACAUGUAUAUAUAUACAUACACGACGGGCUUCUUUCAGUUUCCAUCUACCAAAGCUACUCAAGGCUAUAUUAGAAGACACUUGCCCAAGGUACCAUGCAGUGGGACCGAUCCUUGAACCACGUGGUUGGAAAGCAAGCUUCUUACCACACAGCCACUCCUGUGCCUAUGUAUAUAUAUAUAUUUCUUUUUUUCUUUCUCUCUCCAUGUUCUCCUCUCUAUCCUUUCUGACAAAGAGCAUAGGCUCAAAAUGUCGAAGACUUUUCCAUUCUUCUUGAGUGUCGAACUAAUACACCUGCUUGUUCCCUCACCUGCCUUUGUCUUUUGUUUUCUGUACAUCUUAACUAUAUAUUUAUAGUUGGCAACCGAUUUUGGUGUUUUUACGUUCCCAUAACUUAGCAGUUCAACAAAAGAGGCUGAUUGAAUAAGUCCUAGGCUUACAAAGAAUAGAUCCUGGGGUCAAUUUCUUCAACUAAAAACCCCAUAAGGUGGUGCUCCAGCAUGGCCACAAUCACAUUACUGAAAUGAGUAAACAAAUAAAAUAUAUCUCCAGCAUGGCUGCAGUCAAAUGACUGAAACAAGUAAAAGAACCGUCCAACCCAUGCUAGCAUGGAAAACGGAUGUUAAACGCUGAUGAUGAUGAUGAUGAUGAUAUAUAUAUAUAUAUAAUAAUGUGAGAGACCCAUCAGAUUAAUGUAAAAUUGUUUUUUUGCAAUGGAAUAUAAAAACAAAUAUUAACAUGUCUGUCCGUUACGAUUGAGAAGGUGAAUGACAAUGACCUUUUUGUGUGCGCAGUCUGUUACAGACCAUGGCUUUCUUUUGCUGGGCUCAAAUCUCAUUUCUGAACCCAUGGAAAUCGAACCUUCACCAACUAUUCUGCCUAUUUGCCUGUGCACACCUUUGAAUGCAAUGUAUGCCAGAAAGUUUGCAACUCUAACGGAGGCCUGAAAAGACAUUUUAAGAUCCACAAAGAUCAGAACUUAUCUGCAGCUCUUGGUGGUCCAAAUCGGAUAUGCAAUCUAUGUGGGUUUCUUUUCAAAAUAUUGUCAAGUGUAAAAAGCCACAUCAGAUGCCAUGAUGAUUCUAAGGUGUAGGUACAGGAGGAGGUGGUCAGACUCUGCAUAAGGAGUAGACAAUCUCCAUGUAUGUAUAUAUGUAGUGGAUGCAAUGAACAAUAAAAGAAAGGCAAAAGACACCACAGGAUGGACAAAUUAAAUAAAACACUGCAUUAGCUUAAUGCUUAAAUGGUGGGGAGGGUGGUCUUAAUAUUUCGGACAUUAGUCUUCCAUCAUAAGAAAGAGAAAAUAUUAAAAGGAUUAAGGAAGAAAAAAUUAGGGAGAGAGAAAAAAAAUAAGAGGUAAGGGAUUUGCAGCCAGCUUGGAAUGCAGUUCAGUUGACAGGAAAUGUGUAUAAAUACAUUUUUAUUUUUAAGUAAGCUAAUUGCUUAUUGAAUUUGUGUGAAAUGGUUGAGUAUCCCACAUAUGCUUGUACGAUCACAGUGUGGGACAAGGUUGGAGCUUUGAAGUACAGAGCUUUGAUCAAUUUGACUGGUUUCCACACAAUUUCCAUCCGUUUAGUUUCUCUCACAAGGCUUCCUAACAAUACACUUGGUGAGUUUGCUCAAACAAUGGAAUCCACUGAAUCCUGUAGCCUCAUCUAAUAGCAAGUGUUUGCUACCACUUAAGGCUACUCAGCCAGUGGUGUUGUAGGCAAGUGAAGUUCUGUGGUGGACCUUUGUAGUGUUACUUUUGUAAAAAUUGGUGGCAGACCAAACUUAUCUAUUUUUCUCACUUUGAUAAUGUUUUUUUUUAUUUUUACAUUCAUAUAUUUAGUGAAACUGUAUAAGAACUUCAUUCGGUGGCAUGUAAAAUAUAAAAAGCACCAUCCGAACAUGGCUGAUGCCAGUACUAUCUGACUGGCUCCUAUGCCAGUGGCAUGUAAAAAGCACCAACCAAGCGUGGUCGGUGCCAGGUCCACCUGACUGACCUCCGUACCAGUGAUACAUAAAAAGCACUAUCCAAACAUGAUCGAAUCCAGUACCCUCUGACUGGCCCCUGUGCUGGUGGCAUGUAAAAAUCACCUACCAAACAUGGUUGGUGCCAAGUCCACCUGACUGACCUCCGUGCCAAUGACGUGUAAAAAGCACUAUCCAAACGUGAUCGAAUCUAGUACCCCCUGACUGGCCCCUGUGCUAGUGGCAUGUAAAAAGCACUAUCCAAAUGUGGGCAUGCCAGCACCCCCUGACUGGCCCCUGUGCCAUUGGCACAUAAAAAGCACUAUACAAAUGUGGCCAAUGCCAUUACUCCCCCUGAUUGACCCUUGUGCCUGUGGAACGUAAAAAGCACCCACUACACUCUCGGACUGGUUGGCAUUAGGAAGGGCAUCCAGUUGUAGAAACAUUACUAGAUCUGAUUGGAGCCUGAUGCAGCCAUCUGGCUCGCCAGCCCUCAAGUCAAACCAUCCAACCCAUGCCAGCAUGGAAAGCGGACGUUAAACAAUGACGAUGAUGAUGAUAUUGCUAACUUAGGCUUUGUCCACCUCACCCUGCAUUUUAAGGUCUGUUGUUGGUAAAGGAAAAAAACACAGGAAAGAAAAUGCACACAAUAUAAAUGCGGAGACCUUUGGCGAUAUACCCUGCUUGUGUAGACCUGUGAAGCCAAGUGAGAUUAUAGUGAUGGACGAUGCUGUUGUCACGUCCGUGGCACCGAUGCUGGUGGCACGUAAGGAGCUCCCACUACAUUCUUGGAGUGAUUGGUGUUAAGAAGGACAUCCAGCUGUAGAAACACUGGGGGCACGGUGGGAGGGGGGGUUGAUGUAAUUGACUUAUCCUCUCCCCCAAAAUGGCUAAAAUAGCAGGCUGUGAUUUGAGGAAGACUUGGUUGUUAUUUCUACCCGAUUAAUAACCAUGUGGAGAGCCUCUCCACCAUUGCCACUCCUCUCUCUCUCUGUCCAGUGGUUCAACAGUAUUUAUUUGUGUCAGAGUGGUCAGUUUGGUGAUCAACAAACUUCUCUAGAUUGUCACUUUGUAAGAAGACGGUGGCAGUGGUGGUUGGGGCGGCGGCGGCGGUGGUGGUGGCGGCGGCGGCGGCAGUAAUUAAUGUGUCACUCAGUGCACCUCUCUGUCACUCUCUCUAUCAAUCCUUUCUCUCUCUCCCUCUCUCUUUCCACUAUUUAGUAACUGAUUCACACACCCCCACCAUGUCCUUAAUACUCACUGAAGUUUUAUAACCCUAGGUCAGUCCUGGUCCAGCUGUCCUAGGACACACAGGUUGUUGUUGUUGUUGCUGUUGUUGUUGCAUAGCCCAAUUGUUUAUGAAUUUGUUUUGCUAGAUUCCUGAUGUGGAACAGAUCUUCUUCUUACAUUUGGGGAUGGUCAGUAACACCUGGGUCAAUCCUGAUCCACAGAGUCACUUGGUGCGUGUGUGUGUUCCCUGGUGUCACCUAAUCAUUCAGUCUGCUAGAAAUAGCAGCCAAACUCUCUCUCCUAUCAAACCCUGCUAUCUAGAAAAAGAAAAAAAAAAAAAAGAAAAGAGAAAAGAAAAGGAAGUUUAAGCACAUUUAGACAGUGCAAUUCUUAAUAUAUAAAAUGACAGGUUGGUCGUGACUGGAACCCUAUUGGUUUUAGGAAUUGCUCAGUCAAGGCUAGCCUGGGGUUAAACAGUAAUAAUACCACCAUGUAGUAGAGUUGAUUCAUUAUUCUCUGCUCUUGAUCAGAGCUGACCAAUGCCUUGAGUAAGUUUGGUAACCAGAAAUUAUGUGGAAGCCUGUUGUGUAUGUGUGUGUGUGUGUGUUUGUGUUUGUAUAUAUAUGUAUAGGUAUGGCUGUGUGGUAAGAAGCUUGCUUCCCAACCACAGUAUUCUGGGUUCUGUCCCACUGCAUGGCACCUUAAGCAAGUGUCUGUUACUAUAGUCAACCAAAGCUUUGUGAGUGGAUUUUGGUUGACGGAAACUCAAACAAGCCUAUUGUGUGUGUGUGGCUUUAUGUCUUUGCCUCCCUGCCCCCAUCACCGCUUGGCAACCUGUGUUGGUGUGUUUACAUCCCCCGUAACUUAGCAGUUUGGCAAAAGAGAUCAAUAGAAUAUGUCAUAGACUUAAAAAGAAUAAGUCCUUGGGUUGAUUUGUUUGACUAAAACACUUCGAGGCAGUGCUCCAGCAUGGCUGCAGUCAAAUGACUGAAACAAGUCAAAGAAUAUGUGUGUGUGUGUCUUUGUGUUUGUUCCUACCACUGCUUGACAGCCAGUGUUGGUUUCUUUAUGGUCCCCAUAACUUAGCAGCUCAGCAAAGAGGGGACUGAUAGAAUAAAUACCAGACUUCAAAGAAAAAGAUAUACCUAUGUACUGGAGUUGAUUUGUACAACCAAGCCUUUCAGUGCAGUGCUCCAGCAUGGCCACUAUCCCGUAUCUGAAACCAGUAAAAGACAGAAAAUUGUUCAGUGUUAAUGCUGGUGUUGUUGACCCCUAUGCUGUCCCUGACCCAGCAGACUGUGACUCAAGGUGUUCUAGCUAUGACCAUCACAUCUAUUAAGGUGCAAUGUGCAUAGGCCAACAUUAUCCAGCAUUAUUGUUGUUGUUUAACCCCAGGCCAACCCUGAUCCAGUUGCUCUUUCUAGUAAAGAUGGUUAGUCAAACAGUUGGGAGAUCCACAGAUUUAUAUAUUUUUUUACAUGGCCUGGUUUUCCAUCAGUUACGAUGAUGAGGAUUCCAGUUGAUACAAUCAAUGGGACAGCUUGCUUGCGAAAUUAAUGUGGAAGUGACUGAGUACUCCACAGACACAUGUACCCUUAACGUAGUUCUCGGGGAGAUUCAGUGUGACAUAGAGUGUGACAAGGCUUCCCCCUUUGAAACACAGGUACUACUCGUCUUUGCCAGUUGAGUGGACUAGAGCAAUGUGAAAUAAAUCGUCUUGCUCAAGGAUACAACUAGCUGCUGGGAAUUGAACUCAUGACCUUCCAGUUGUGAGCCACAUACCCUAACCACUAAGCCAUGUGCCUUUAUAUAUACAUACAUACAUAUAUAUGUGUGUGUGUGUCUGUGUGUUUAGGCGUGGCUGUAUGGUUAAGAAUUUCACAUCAGUACAUGUAGUUCCUGGUUCAACCCCACUCCAGAGCACCUUGCCCUUUACUAUCUGAAGCCUUGUGAGCGGAUUUCGUAGACGGAAACUGUGUUGAAGCCUGUCAUGUGUGUAGCUCUGGAUCAUGAUUUCUACGCUUUUCAGGAGCAUGGAACCACCUCUGAAAGCUCUACUUUGACUCUGAAGAGUAACAUCUGUCUGGGUCUAAGCUAUGGGUUAAAUAACAUGUGAUGACAAUCCCUGUGAGUAGAGGGACACAGAAAUAUCCCCGAUUGGUGCCAGAGUACAUAGAACCACUGGGAGUGAGGUGCUAACUGUUAUCACAGCUUCCUUCUAUAAGUGAGGUACUCUAAUGUCAACUAGGGUUUUUGUGUGAUUACUGGGCAUCUUGCUUCUGUCUGUUGCUAAGUACUAAUUAUGUAAUUUACUAAAUUCACAUUUAAUUGUAUUAGUGGAUUGACAGUAUAUCUAUGUAAAUUUGGAGAAUCUUGUCUCUCACAAUAUCAAAUUAUUUCUAAGGUAGCAAGCUGGCAGAAACAUUAGCACACUGUACAAAAUGCUUAGUGGUAUUUCAUCUGUCUUUACGUUCUGAGUUCAAAUUCCGCCAAGGUCGACUUUGCCUUUCGUCCUUUCGGGGUCAAUGAAUUAAGUACCAGUUAUGUACUGAGGUCGAUCUAAUUGACUGGCCACCUCCCACAAAAUUCAGACCUUGUGCCUACAGUAGAAACGAAUAUUUUUUUCUUCAAGGGCAGCAAGCCGGCAGAAACAUUAGCACACCGAGCGAAAUGCUUAGUGGUAUUUCGUCUGCCGCUACGUUCUGAGUUCAAAUUCCGUCGAGGUCGACGUUGCCUUUCUUCCUUUCAGGGUCGAUUAAAUAAGUACCAGUUAUGCACUGGGGUCGAUAUAAUCGACUUAAUCCAUUUGUCUGUCCUUGUUUGUCCUCUGUGUUUAGCCCCUUGUGGGUAGUAAAGAAAUGGGUAUUUUGUGUCUUUAUGUUCUGAGUUCAAAUUACGGUGAGGUCGACUCUGCCUUUUAUCCUUUCAGGGUCAGUAAAUUAAGUACCACUUGCGUACUGGUACUAAUCAACUUCGCCCCCCCCCCCCGCCCAAAAAAAUUUCAGGCCUUGUGCCUAAAGUGGAAAAGAAUAUCAAAACAUUUCUCAUGGCAUCAGCAGAUAAAAUGGAAAAGGAGGAUAGCAGAGGAGAUGUGCUGGAACAGCCACUCCGACACACAGGGAUGGCAUUUGUGGACAGCAAUCCCUGCCCUGAUAGCAGUGACAGAAAUAUGGUCCAAGGGCCAAGAAUGCUGGAGGUCUCAACUGCCACAGGCUCAACUAUAAACCUGUUGGAGAGCAACCGAUAUCAUGACAGUUUGUUUUUCUCAACCUGAUGAGCAGCAGAGCCUGGGCCCGUAGCUGACAACAAGUUUCCACUGGAGAACGUGUCACACAGCACGUGGCAUCCCAGAUGAGGGCUCUGCUGCCACAGGAUGGGAAAAUUGUCAUAUUGUCUGGCAUUCUACCAUCCCCUCAGUUUAGCCCCACUGGCAUGAAAUGGGAAGGGAAACCUGCAACACUUAGGCCCAGUUUUAUGUACUAAUUAUGGAGACCCAAACAGUGGUACUUCAACAGAUGUUUAUCACCAGAAUCCAGCAUUUGACAAUAUACAGGCUAAAAGUACAAAGUCCAGCAUCUAAGCCCUUAGUAAUUGGGUGUGUUAACUUUUUUUUUCGCAAAAGAAUGAAGGUAGGUGGUGAGUUUAGGUUGGUCCUGUCUUUGUAUGCUGUUGAUGUUGUUGUUGUUAUUUAAGGUAUUUCGUGUUUUCACUUGUAAGGUUGACCUGUAUAUUGUCAAAGCAAAAAUGAUUAAAUCCCAUACCAGCAAAAGCAACAAAAAUAAUGUCACAGCUUGUGUCUAACUAAUGAGCGAGAAACACCUACAGGCUUGUUUACAAAGUUCUCCAUGCAUCAAUAAAUCCUAAGCAAUAAACCACAUAUUUAAUCAAUAAAAAAAAGUGUUUCCAAAACACCCUCUCCAUAAAAACCAAAUUACCACCCACUCAGACCUUCACACCCAAAGAUGAUCAUUAACUGAACAGAGACUGUAUAUAAAGUCCUAUCUAACUCCAAUGCAUCGCAGUCCGCUAAUGGCUUAGCUGGCUGAAACUUCAGAGUCACUGUCAACAACAUCCCUGUAUAUGAAUAAUAUAUAUAUAUUAAUAUUAUCAUCAUCAUUUAAAGUCUGCUUUCCAUUUAUUAUUCGAUACCACUGUCACAUAACUGGCACCUGUGCCGGUGACACGUAAAAGCACCCAUUACACUCUCAGAGUGGUUGGUGUUAGGAAGGGCAUCCAGCUGUAGAAACCAUACCUAUUUCUUUAUUACCCACAAGGGGCUAAACAUAGAGGGGACAAACAAGGACAGACAUAGGUAUUAUGUCGAUUACAUCGACCCCAGUGCGUAACUGGUACUUAAUUUAUCGACCCCGAAAGGAUGAAAGACAAAGUCGACCUCGGCGGAAUUUGAACUCACAACGUAACGGCCUACGAAGUACCGCAAAGCAUUUCGCCCAGUGUGCUAACGCUUCUGCUAGCUCGCCGCCUUUAGAAACCAUACCAAAUCAGACUGGAACAUGGUAUGACCCUCCAGCUCAACAGUUUUGGUCAAAUUCUCUAACCCAUGCCAGCAUGGAGAGUAGAUGUUAAAUGAUGAUGAUGUGUUUGUUAACCACAUUAAAAAAAAGUUAUUUUCCUUUAUUUUGAUUUUACAAACAUCUUUUCUUCUAUUUCAGAUUGAAAACAGCUAAACUUAUAUUUAAACUUCACCGAGCUCCUUCACAACCAAACAGAUUUUUGUAUUCGCAUAUACACCCUGCAUAGACUCUUUGGAUUAAGGUGUUUUUAUAUGUGUAUAUAUAUACAUAUACAUAUACAUCCUACAUUUUACCCUUUGAGAGAAAAGGAGUUUUUUUUUCCCUCCCUCAGGAUUUUUCUGUUGGAAAGCCUCCUUACAGAUUAGUUGAGACCCUUCAGGAAGAGAAACUGUGAAUCUACACCUGCUUCCUGACACAUACAUCUUUAUACAUACAUAUAUACAUAUUGAUUUAUAGGACAUAUUGUGUUGUGUGUCUAUAUAUAUAUAGACAAUUAUAGAUGUUAUAUGCAGACAUAUAUAUACACAUCUAUACAUACAGAUUUUUACAUGAAAGACAGUCUCACUCUGUGACCCCAAGAAUUCUCACAUAGUGCCAUCAGAUACAGGUUUGUCCAACUCACUUGAUUAUCAUAGGUAUUGCCCUUGAAUCUACACACACACACACACACAUGUAUAUAUAUUGUGAAUGGUGAUACUGUACUGACUGAUUUUUUUUCCAAUACUUGAAGAAUUCAGAAUUGUCUGAAGUGGUUCAACUUUUAUUCCACGAGUGUUCUGGUGUCGCCGAGGCACGUGACGAUUUAUAGAUGCUCCACAGUGAUUAAGAAACCCCGAUUCUUCAAUCAUUAAUCACAGAUCACUAAAUUAUCAUAUUAUCAUUAACAUCAUCAUCAUUAUUGAUACUGGUGAUCAACAACAUACGGACAACAGUAAUUAAAAGCAAAUAACUUUCCAAGAAUUUAAUCCGACAUUGAACUGCCAUUUCCUAAGAUAAUCUAUAAAUAUCUUGGUUCAGUGAAAAUUCUUGAGUUGGAUUUCGGAUGUUAAAAUCCGAACAACAAGGGAAGAGGAAUUGGAAAUUGUCUUAUUAUUGUCUACCAUUUUCUUGUUCUUCGUUGUUUAAAGACAAAACUAAAGUAAAAAAAGACAUCAUCCAUGUUUACAAGAUGUCGUUUCCCAAGAAUCGUUAACUAAUUACAACUGGGUCUGUUCUUGAAUUACACCUUGACAUGGCUGUGUGCAGCCGUUAGACUCAACUACAUCUGUUGUCUUUCCUGUAUGCAUUAGAUAGAUCAGGAGUUGAGAUGGAGGGAAACAGUUGCAAUCAUAUUGGCCAUCAUCACCACAAUCACCAUCACCACAACCAUCACCAUGGUCACACUCUUCACAACAGCAGCAGCAGUAAUCAACAAGCUGUCGUGCUGGCUGCUGCUAAUUUAGCAGGGGACGGUAGCAUGGCGCUGUCGGUGGCACCGGGGGGUGCGACGUCCGACAAGCAGUACAAGUGCGACAUCUGCGGCAAGUGUCUGUCGCGAAGGGACCACUUGAAGCUCCACAAGCGGAUCCACACCGGUGAGCGCCCUUUCAAGUGUCAGAUCUGCGGCUGCGCGUUCUAUCGCAGCGACCACCUGGCGCGGCACCGGGGCACGCAUCAGCUGGAGAAGCGGUUCAGCUGCGAGAUCUGCCGCAAGACGUUUGUGCACCGGUCGUACCUGAAGGUGCACCAGAGGAUCCACACGGGCGAGCGGCCGUUCCGGUGCCAGAUCUGCGGGUUCGCCUUCUCCCGGAAAGACCACCUUGUCAAACACAAUCGGCCGAACAAGAACGGCAUCAAAAUAAGCUGCGUGCCGCUACGCAACAACAGCAACAACAACAACAACAACAACGGAAGUAAUAAUGUUACCCUGGCAACAACAACAUCAAUCACAACAGAAGCCUCCCCAACACCAAUCAGCAGCAGUAACAUCAACAGCAGUAGUACUGGUGGUGGUGGUGGUGGUGGUAGUAGUAGUAGUAAUAGUAGUAGCAGUAGUAGUAGUAGUAGUAGUUCUUCAAAUACCAAUAAUAAACCUAACAAAGAUAAACAGACUAGCCCCACUACCGUUGCCGCUAACAGCUCUGGGGUGAAUACCAGUUGUGCUGUCAGUGUCAAUACAUCACAGCAUGCAGUGGUUGCUAGCCAACAAGCAAGUGCCUCGGUUGUCGACAUCUCGAGCCAACCACAGCACUCAGGGGUGAACGUUAGUCACCACCUCAACUCGAACGUGGUAGCGAGCACUCAAGCCGCCUCCUACCCGGCCGGCACCCAGGUCUACCCGCUCUACACCCAGAUGAAUCCUGUCACACAUAUCUUUCCGAGCACGAUACAGAUAUCGCCGGCGACCACGCAGAUCUUCCCUACCAUUCAAAUGUACCAAGGAGCCGUCACCGUCUCUGCCCCAGCGGCAGCACAGCUUUAUCAGACGAAAUAAAAUAAAAAAAAAAUAAAAAAACAGACAGACAGAGAAAACAAUGAAAUUUUAAACCCGAGGAAAUUUUCCAAAAAAAAUAAACAAAACAAAAAAAAAAAAAGAAACGAAAAAUUGUAAAAACUGAAAUAUAAAACAACAAACUUGGAAAUGAAAUUUGAAAAACAAAAAAAAAUUGAAUAAAAAUUUUCCAAUUUUAAACGGAAAAUGGAGAAAUUAAAUAUGGUUCGUUGUGUUGAAUUAAAAAGAAAAUCGAUAAGACCCUAAUUAUUGAAGUGUGACAAGGUUUUGUCACAAACCCUUUAAAUAAACAGCCCUCUACACACACACUCACACCCCUACUCGGCACGCACACUCUCUGAACUGUUCCCAUUGUCUGCAAACUGUAGAUGUUGAAAUGGAUUUGCACCAUUUCAAUAGGCUACGAAUUUACAACCUCAACAAACUAGACUCUCAUAUUCCUUUCUGACAAUGUGACUCUGACAGUGUGACCCUCAUACUCGAGUCCGACAGUGUGACUCUCAUACUCUAGUCCGACAAUGUGACUCUCAUACUCCACUCCAACAGAGUGACUCUUAUACUCCACUCCAAGUGUGACUCUCAUACUCCACUCCAACAGUGUGACUCAUACUCCACUCUGACAGUAUGACUCUCAUACUCCACUCCAACAGUCUGAUUCUCAUACUCCACUCCAACUGUGUGACUCUCAUACUCCACUCUGACAGUAUGACUCUCAUACUCCACUCCAACAGUCUGAUUCUCAUACUCCACUCCAACUGUGUGACUCUCAUACUCCACUCCAACAGUGUGGCUCAUACUCCACUCCAACAGUGUGGCUCAUACUCCACUCCAACAGUAUGACUCUCAUACUCCACUCCAACAGUGACUCAUACUCCACUCCAACAGUGUGACUCAUAUUCAACUCCAACAAUUUGAUUCUCAUACUCGACUCUGACAGUGUGACUCUCAUACACCACUCUUAGACAGUGUGACUCCCAGUCAGCAGCAAUAGGUGUCUGCUUCCAAAACAUUGUUACAUCAGUCAAUUCUGUUGAUGUUGGUUUGGUAUCAGAUGUUGGGGGAGGAGAGAUGGGAGAAAGAGAGGGAAAGAGGGAAAGAGGGGGGGCGGCUAAUGGUAGUUCCAUGGUUCACAAAACUUUGCUAAUUUUGUCAAUAUGUCUUUUGUGAGAAAACAAAAGUUCUGUUCUACAAUUCACCACUUCUGCUAAACAUACAGAGACAGAUAUAGUUUAAGGCGGUGCCCCUGCAUGGCCACGGUCUAUUGACUGAAAUAAGUAAAGGAUACAAAAUAUAUAUAUGUGUGUAUAUAUAUAUAUAUAUAUAUAUAUGUAUAUAUAUAUAUAUAUGUGUGUGUGUGUAUAUAUAUAUAUAUAUAUGAUGAUAUAUAUAUAUAUAUGAUGAUGAUGAUAUAUAUAUAUAUAUAUAUAUAUAUAUAUAUGCAGUGUAGGAGGAUAAAAAGGCCAGGGUGUUGAUCCGCUAAAAACUAAUUAACAUAUUGCAAACAGUCUUCUCAUUCCCCACCCCCCUGCUAAAUGCUACCUCCCUCCCUCCUUCCCUCCCCUCUCUCUCGUGGAUGUCACUCAACUUCUGGGGUCAGUCCUUGCACACUCUUAAAAAAAACCUGCUCUAGCCUGGUCACAGAUGGGCUGUGAAUGACAAAGACUGGAUUUUGUUAUUUUUUCUUUUUUAAUCAACCAGGCUUUUGUUUCUCUAGUUUUAUAUUAUUACUAUGUAUACAUAAGGAUGGGGGUCUUUUUUUUUUCUUCUUCUCUUUCUCGCCAUUAUUUCGGGUGAGGGGGGCAGUCAAUGGAUAAUGCAAGGGUGUGUGGAGCCAAUGGACAUGAGUCGGGUCGGGGUUAGAUACUGGACAAUAUGAAAUGACUGCUAGGUUUUAUUUUAUUUUAUUUUUUAAUGGCAAAAAUAAAUAAUUUGAAAAAGAGAAAAAAAA
rnacentral:lncRNA from 1 species